rnacentral:rRNA from 1 species
CCUACGGGUGGCAGCAGUGAGGAAUAUUGGUCAAUGGACGAGAGUCUGAACCAGCCAAGUAGCGUGAAGGAUGACUGCCCUAUGGGUUGUAAACUUCUUUUAUAUGGGAAUAAAAUGUUCCACGUGUGGGAUUUUGUAUGUACCAUAUGAAUAAGGAUCGGCUAACUCCGUGCCAGCAGCCGCGGUAAUACGGAGGAUCCGAGCGUUAUCCGGUGUUAUUGGGUUUAAAGGGAGCGUAGGUGGAUUGUUAAGUCAGUUGUGAAAGUUUGCGGCUCAACCGUAAAAUUGCAGUUGAAACUGGCAGUCUUGAGUACAGUAGAGGUGGGCGGAAUUCGUGGUGUAGCGGUGAAAUGCUUAGAUAUCACGAAGAACUCCGAUUGCGAAGGCAGUUCACUGGACUGCAACUGACACUGAGGCUCGAAAGUGUGGGUAUCAAACAGGAUUAGAUACCCCUGUAGUC